GUAGCCUUUAUUAGUAAAAAUUAAAAACAAAAACACGCUUUCACUUUCUCACUUUCUCACUUUCUCACAGUACUGUUUCUCACUUUCUCUGCAACCGAAAAACCCUCCCUCCGUCGCCAGCCACAGCCACCACCGUUCGUCCCUCCGUCGCCAGCCACCACCGUUCGUCCCUCCGUCGCCAGCCACCACGUUCGUCCCUCCGUCGCCAGCCACCACCGUCGUUCUCUCCUCCGUCUGACUGUGCAAGUUACUUUGAAGUCUCUGGUUUCUACUUGUACAACGCCGAUUCAAACCUACCCAUCUCCCACAUCAAGUCUAACUAAGAAUUCCUUAGUACCUGAUAGAGAAACCAAGAAGCAUUUGUUUAGCUUAAUUAAGUCAUGGAUAAGACAUGGAUGAGAUCAAACCGAUUGUCGAAAGAGUACGAGAAAGGGGUAUGGGAAUUCGUUGAGUUUGCGGUUAAGCACUCCGAAGACCCGCUUCGAAUGCCGUGUCCUUGCUUGGGUUGCUGUUAUGGGGAUAAGGUUGACGGGAAACAGUUGGGAUCCCAUUUACUACGGUUUGGAAUUGAUAGAAGUUAUACAUGUUGGACAAUGCAUGGUGAGAAAAGGAACGGGAAUGCUGGGUCGAGUUGUAAUAGGAAGUAUGCUUCAAACGACGAUUGCACAGACACAUACGAUUGCGAUCGAGUCGAAGAGAUUGCAGAAGCGCUUGAAGAAGAUCUUGCGGAUUGUCCCAAAAUGUUUGAGAGGUUGGUAAGCGAUGCAGAGAAACCGUUGUAUGAUGGUUGUUCAAAAUUCACAAGAUUGUCUGCGGUGUUAAAGUUGUACAACUUAAAGGCGGACAAUGGAUGGUCGGAUAAAAGUUUCACAGAGUUAUUAGCCCUUAUGAAAGAUAUGCUAC